AAGUCGUAACAAGGUUUCCGUAGGUGAACCUGCGGAAGGAUCAUUAACAAGGAUUGGUGGAAAGGUCUCUUUUGCAAUAAAUUAGACCCCCCAACAUAAUCGGUAUCCGUCCCCCCGUGCCUUCACGUUCUAGCGCGGUGUGGGUAAAACACCCCUUGUGUGCAUUGCAUUUGGAAUAUUAAUGAGGGGAGAAAAAAAAGAAAAAUAUAUAUAUAUAUGUCUUUUUCUCUUUUCUCCCUUUAUUAUUUUUUUUUCAAACCAACUCUUUUAAAUGAAAAUUAUUAUUAUUAUUUUUAUAUGUAAAAACUAUAAAAACAACUUUCAACAACGGAUCUCUUGGCUCUC
rnacentral:misc_RNA from 1 species